CCCAGAACCAUAACCUGACCCAAGUCCUGAUCCAGAUCCACCACCACCACCUCCUCCCUGCCCUCCACCUCCACUAAUUGACUGCAGUGUCCUAGCAGCGAAGGCGAUGUCUACAAUAAGCAAGACCAGGAAAGCAGUCCCUAACACUCUUGGGCUUCCCAUUUCCAGAUUAUACUCUCACGGCUCAACGUAUCUGUAUGUUUAUGCGUGUCACUCGCUAUAUGAGAAACCAGUAUGUUUUGUUGACUGGAAAUGCUUGAAGUGGCAACCCUAUAUAUAGGCAUUGUGAAGGUAACAAGACAAGGUUUUUGAAAAGUAUGGCAUGAAUUGUAAAGGUAACGAGACACGGUUUUUGAAAGCUUUCUUAAAUUCCCAGUACCUCUCACUUGGUAAUCUUACCUAUUAUAGAAAGGAACGCGUGUUUUGGGUUUCUGUUUCUGUGGAGGGUGGCGGUACUGUGGAGGACUCAAUUGAUGAAAACAAAAGUUAAGGGUUCGAAAUGGAAAAAAAAGAAAACACACUUCUCUAAUCCACCCUCCAUUGUGAGCACGUGAACAUGUUUAACACUGCUCAACACCCCCAAAAUGUUUUAGUAUAUUUGUUAUUUGAAGUCCACUUUGACGGCGCACUUGGAAUUUUCUUACACUAGCGCUUGUUUAGUGAUUUGUUCAUCUUAACAUUUGUCUCCUUGAGCAUAUAUGUUCAUCAACUACUACUAGGAUUUAUGUACACAGAUAUCUUUCUACUCUGCGUGUCUAUAUGCUAACAAUGGGCAAAACUUGCACACCAAACUGGGUUGUUCAGUCAAUAUUUCUUAUUGCUGUUACACUUUGAAUUAAUAGAUUUGAAUUUCUUUUUCCCACAAUAUCAUAGACACUUUGCAUCAUUGAAUAUAAAUAGAUCUGUACUUAGAAACCGUGUUCGAAUGUCUGACUUGUAAUUAAAAACCUUGGUGCCUGUUCUGGGGUGUUAAAUUAAGCACACCAUCCUUGCAUCACUGCGAGUGGAAUGUUAGGCCAUCUGCAUGGAUGAUAUACUGAACAGUCUUCUAUUCUUGCCAAAUUGAAUUUCAGUUCCAUACUCACAGAGCAUCACUUCCUUUUAUGCCAUGCUUUUUUAAGCCUGUGUAAGAGUGAUCUGCUAUUCUGAAUUACUGGUGACCAGCAUACUGUAUAUACAUUAGAAGUGGACAUGGAAUUUCAGAUUCCUUGGUGAAGAUAGCAGUCAGUAUAUUAGAACCACUAGAAGCAUCUAACAGUGGCUCAGGUAUUGAAGCCAACAAUUAAAAUAUACAUAAAGAAAAGAGAACAAGAGAGAAAAAUCUCACCUAUAAAGAAGGCAUGCAAAUUUCACAACGCAGCCCCUCAUCUCUAGAUCAGUCCAUUCGAGAAUGUCAAACUUGGCAUCAAGGCUCUCUUUUUAUGCCAGAAAACACCGCAGAAGCAGAGACCAACAAUACACAAACAUUGUAUAAAAUCUUAAUAUGCAAUAUAUAUGAAUGCAAUACGAGGAAAAAAGAAAGAAAGAUCCAAUAUCACAAAUAACAUAUAACAGUCUUUUGUUGUUGUAUUUAAAGAACGUUACCUUCCUGAGAAAAAAGAUACUGCAAGCAAAAGCAACACGUCUCUCUGCAAAAAUCUUGGAACUUAAAAUGGAGAAGAGUGAGAAAUCGUUAAAAGGAUGUGUUCCAACAGGAACACAGGCCCAGACAGUACUUCUAAUCCUCUUAGCAAAGUUUUCAUGUACUGUUUAAAAGAAUCAGAGAAGAAUGGUGUACUCCUCUGAAUCCAAUUCAGUACUGUCCACUUUGCCUUAUCAGCAACACAACACAAGGAAUGGUUUCAGUAGUAUUGAACAACCUAUGUUUCUCCCUUGAGUCCUUAAUGUACGUCUCCAAAAGCAAACUAUACAUCUCUGAAGGUGAGAAGCAAAAAUUUCCCAAAUCAAGAGAUUUGUAAUGCACCAUAAGAGAAAAAGUGUACCAACUUCACUCACAAAGCUCUACCAGGAUGGAUGUUCUGCAUUGCCAUUUGAAAUCCAUAUAGUGCCCGGGCCUGAGACAAUGAAAAUGCCUUUUGGUCCCUCUUCAAAACCUCCAAAAUGUAAUUUUAACUUUAUUUUCAUAAAUAAAAUAAAUUUGUAGUAUGAUAAUGAAAACCAGGUCGAACACAAGGCAAAUUUCAUUCAAUCUUCCUACAACAUACUAAAAUAAAAAAAGAACGGGGAUUUGAAUAAAAAAUUAAAGAAACAAAAUUCUGAAAAUAAAAAUACAAAAUUAAUAUGGCGUUGGCUUAGUUCAAAGGUCUAGACAUUCAUUCCCAUAAAUUUAUUGAUCAUCGAAGUAAAAUAAAUAUCCUUUCAAUUCAAGAAAAUGAAUUUGAUGCCCUUUUAAAGCUAAGGGGAAUCGAGGAGAUUAUGAGUAAAUUAAUUAGAUAAAGCUUUCUAAUCAAUUUCUUUCCAUCAAGCAAAUUUAAUAUUGAAAAGCAACUUUAAUUCACUCAGCAGUAGCCUUAGGAGAAAAAUCUGUAAAAUUUAUUCGAAGCAAUCGUUCAAAAGCUUGAGCAAUUUAACUUAGUGUACCCCUCCCUAAUAAAUUAAAGUGAUAGUUCUAGCAAUCAAGUUAACUCCUUUGUUUCUUCUUAUUCUAGUCCCCGACAACAAUUAAGAAUUGAAAGAAACUAGAAAGCACAUAUAUAUCAUCUCAAAACAAUUCAAUAAGCAUGAACAGAAAUCAAUAGCAUAAUUAUGAAAUAAAGAUAAAUAAGUACUUGAAUAUGAAAGAAUUACAAUGAGAAGAACGUUACUUCUCACAACUUAAUAAUGGGGAUGGUGUCUAUUCCUCUUGAACCGAAAGCCAAAGUUCAGUUCAUAGUUGCUGGAAAAUUAACAAAUAAAGAGAAAAGCACAUUGUAGAGAAGAAGAAGAGAGUAUUCUGACGUGAUUUGCUUCCUUUAUUCCCUCCCUCAGCUGCUCUCUUUCAUUAGGAUUCUUCUCCUGAUCAGGAGUCCUUAAUAUUACUUAUUCCUUCUUCUUUAUCUCGCCAUUAAGAUUGGUUAAAUCCCUCAGAAUUUGUGUUGAAAACUAACUCUGCUGCUGUAAUAAUUCUGCUGCAAUUUAGACUCUAAUGCCACUUAGAUGUUGUUUUCUAACAUGAUUUCUUGUAAUAUCCGGCCAUUCCAGCUGUAUUCUUUCAUUCAUGAAAUGUUAGAGACUUGAUUUGCACUUUUCUUGGGUCCUAUGGCUUAUCGUUUCUAUAUUAGACUCUCAAUCAUAGUGGGAUGCUCCUCACCGUUAGUUUCCUCAUCAAAUCAGGAGACCAAUCUUGUCCUUUAGCUUGUGCCUAAAUGUUUGCCUUCAAAGUUGUAUAUCUGGAUGUGUAGAUGAUUUUGAGCUUUAGAAUCGCAUGAUUUUAAUAUACAUAGCUCUAGAUAUGCUCAUUUGAAUCUGUAGUGUGGAAACAGAGAAUCCUGCUGCAAGUAGGAUAUCGACCUGAUUUUGCAAGUCUGAUUAGAGGUCCAAAUGAACUCGAAUUUCUGCCCAUGAUACCUUCCUAGAAAGCUUUAUAUGUGUACUUUAACUUUUAUACAUCAAAUGCUCACAUUUUAAAAUUAUAACGAUGAAAAACCUGCUACAAGAAGCAAGGUCUGAAACAUAAAAUGCAGAAAUUCUUAUUUUUUAGCAAUUAAUUCACAAAAUCUCUUAGGCACGCCAAACUCGUAAGAACAACUUCCAAUAAGGUCAAAUAUAUUAAAAAGCAUAGUGUAAAAGAAAUAAAAACAUAUGUAUAUUUAUCUUUAUAUUACAAAGACAAAUUGAAAAAACAAGAAGCUGAGUGCUCAAAAUAAGCAUCAUGUCUACGUCGAUACCACAAAGAAUCAGUUUAAAAUGAACAUGUAGCGGUCACAAACUGUCAGAAGCAGUAUUGGGUGCUUGAAUUCGACACUCGAUGGACACUUUGAAGCAAAUAUGAUACCUAAAAUGAGAUACAAAUACAGAUAGAGCAUGAAUACACCUGUAAAUGAACUUUGAGAAGGUAACAAAAGCUUCUUAGGAGCUUAGCCAAGAAAUUCACCUCCAGAAUUUUCACAUAUUUAUAAAAUCUCACAGCCAAAUCUUCCAAAAACAAUCCCUUCAGAUGCAGCGAAAAAUGCUAGCACAUGGCUUACAAAGAGUUUCUUCCAAAACAAUCUGCACUUGGUUUUGAUUGAAUAGUGUGUGAUUGCAUCACAACAAGAUGAAAAAUGGCUACAAAAAUUGGAAAGGUUGUAGCUGUCAUACAUAGAAUUGAGGACUCCCCUUCAUUUGUCGGGUUUGAGGGGAGAACCUACCCCUUUUUUUAUUAUUUACAAUGCACAUGAAAAUCCAUGAAUAAAGUUCAUAGUCGAAGUAAUACAUAUUUCCACUGAUUACCAAACUUGAAAUCAAUAAAUUUCGGUCACAAAUUUACAAUGUGAUGAUUGCUAGCUACUUUUAUAUCGAUUAACAUUAAGCUAUGAAAUCAUUUCAGGAUUGAAACAUUCUACGAAAAAAAGUUUACAAGAAUUCUGAUUCGUAAUUACUUGACCAUGGAGUAAACUAAACUUGAAAUCAAAAAUCAAAAUGAGAUAGACCCGUACGUGUUAUAAAUUGUCGUGUUAUAAAUUGAUUGGAGAACAGACAUGUAUUCUGGAUAAAUUAAAAGCAACUAGAUUAGCAAUAACAAAUUAGAGACUGAAGACAAGGACAAGGUGAGGUGAUUCCCGAAAAUAGGUGUUAGGUUCUUCUUAUGUGGAUCGUUAAAUUUGGAAUUCUUUUCCACCCAUAUAUUUUCUCAAGGCUUCAGGAAUCUCGACACCAUUGUCCGUCGGAUUGUUCUCAAGACAGACAUUUUCAAAAUUUCAAGCUCAUUUCUUUUAAUUUUAUUUGAAGUUCUUUGUUUGUGAUGAAAUCCUGUUUUUAUGGAAAUGAUAUAUUCACUUUUUUAUUAGGGUUUGCGGAGAGAUUAUCUAUAAAAUAUACUUUUAGAGUAAAAUGUGCUCUAAAAGUGACUUUAUUAAGAGAUUUAUAUGUAGACAUACAUGCACAGUUGCAGUUGCUCGCCAACAGACAAUAUGCACGCAUGUGUGAGCUCCUGCAAUUUUAUUUCAGAAUACAAAAGAAAAGGCAACCUCUGUGUUCAUGGCAAGCUUUUACCUUUCCCUCCUCCAUAUCCAGAGCCAUAACCAGACCCGCUUCCAUAACCUGAGCCUGAGCCUGAGCCAGAUCCUCCUCCUCCACCCCCACCCCCACCACCUCCUCCUCCUCCUCCUCCUCCUCCACCACUUCCUUUCCCACCCUUGCCACCGCCACUUCCGCUUCCACUUCCACUUCCAUAGCCUGACCCACUUCCUGAUCCAGAGCCUUGACCUCCACCACCACCACCACCACUGCCGCCGCCACCACCACCACCUUUGCCACCACCUAUCCCACUACCAGAACCAUAGCCUGAGCCGCUACCGGACCCAUAGCCAGAACCUGACCCGUUGCCUCCGCCACUGCCACCACCUCCACCUCCGCCACUGCCCCCGCCCCCGCCUCCUCCACGACCACCAGCACCAUAUCCUUCACCGCUCCCGGAUCCAGACCCAGAACCAUAACCUGACCCAAGUCCUGAUCCAGAUCCACCACCUCCUCCCUGCCCUCCACCUCCACCUCCACUAAUUGACUGCAGUGUCCUGGCAGCAAAGGUGAGGUCUACAAUAAGCAAGACCAGGAAAGCAGUCCCUAACACUCUUGGACUUGCCAUUUCCAGAUUAUUCUCUCACGUACGGCUCAAUGUAUAUGUUUAAUAUGCGUGUCACUCAGUGUAUGAGAAACAAGUAUGCUUUGUUGACUGGAAAUGCUUGAAGUGGUAACCCUAUAUAUAGGCAUUGUAAAG
rnacentral:lncRNA from 1 species